CAAAAGGCUUUGAUCGUUGUGAAUGAUUAUGAAUCACUCUCCAAUCAAUCAAAUGACCUUGAAUUUCUUCUGAAUAUGAGUCCGGAUUGAGGGCAUCCCGCCGACCUAUCUCACUCAACCUACGAUCAAUGUAAUCUGGGAAACUUUGGGACCUGUGAGAGUAAUUGAUCAACGUUGAGUUCGUGGUGACAAAGUUGGGGUUUGGAUUGGGAUUGAAAUCCCUCUCCCAGCCCUGUUAAGCUGUGCUUGCACUUUCCAUUUGCCCCGAGUGAAAUUCUGAAUCUCACUUUCUAGUAUGAGCAUCUAGUUGGUUGCUACAGGGUGUUGGGGCUCGGUGUACAUUGGCAAACCAGCCUCAUCCGCCAAUUAUAGCGAGUUGGAUAUGUCAACUUUCCACUGAAGAGAAGCAUAUUGUGACGAUUCAAAAAGUUGCUAGAAGUGUCAAUGGAGACACCUCUUCCUCUAUUGACUAGAAAUAGGUCUAGUAGAGAGGAAGAGCCUGAUCGAGAGUGAAAGCGAGCUCGCGUUGCCCUAGGUUUAGCUUAUAAUACCCUCCGAUUCAAGCAGUCAGGGCUUGGCUUUGAUGAGAGUGGCCUGGUGGAGGUUAUGGUGUAUGCAUCCUCGCAGAUCAAAUGUAAUCGUGGGAGACCACAGGUGUUGCGCAAUAAACCUAGGGAUCAGGAUGACUACAGACCUUCCUCGCCAUAAUUAUUGGCCUUGGACACUUCCCUAGCUUCAGCAGGAAAGUGCAAUAUCAGUUUCACCUAUUUGGUAGCGCACACUUGACUCACUAUAGUUACAUUUUGACCUAUUUUGUAGUGCAUACUUGACUUACUGUGGUUUCCUUU